GGGGGUGUAGCUCAGUGGUAGAGCAUGUGCCUUUUAAGCACAGGGCCGAUGGUUCGAUCCCAUCCACCCUCA
rnacentral:tRNA from 2 species